GUUCUUCCCCCUAUGUGCAGUGGGCUGCUUCUAGUGUUUGGAAUAAUUGUUCUUCACAAUUUAAUUCUUAUGUGUUUCCAGCUCUUAAUGCUUCAGGUGGAAGUGAUCAUAGCUUUCCUUUAAUUGAAAGUAUUAGAGUUCCAGCAUCUCAUUGUUGGGUUUUUGUUGGUAAUAGUUUAACCCCAACCCCUACUUGGGUGGGUACUUAUUCUAAUUGUUCUAUGUGGAGUUUCUCUUAUACUAACACCUUCCUAACUAAACCCACUCUUACUUACACCUACCCCCCUCCCCUUAAUUGUUCUUAUCGUCUUAAUUAUAACAUUCCUUUUGGAACCUUCUCUACCUCCAUAACACAUACAUAUCUGUUCCAUGCCCAGCAUAUGCAUCAUGCUGAGGCUGCAUGUAUCAAUCGUGCAUCCGUCAGUAACCAUUCGUCAAGCGCCUGACUAUUUCAGCCAGUAUAUUUUUUCAUUAGGCCUAGCUGGUUGCUAAGCAGAACAGACCACCAAAACCAGAUUCAUCACCAGUCAUCACAUUUCCAGGAUUUCCUCUUGGAGGAAGGAUACACUUGUCUGUAAGGCACCUCUAGGAAUGUUGUCCCUGCUGUUUGAAUGGUUUAGCAUGAAAUGGACAAGCUUAAAAUAUCACAAGCAAUUGCUUAACGUUUUCUUUUCAAUCUCUCUGGGUCUGUCCGCACGGCAAUGUGCGGCUCAACGCUAACCCCCUUGCGUCCACACACCAAUUGUAUUAACCGAGGGCUCGAGCCUAGGGUCCCAGGGUCCUGCAGGGCUGGAGGGUCUGAGCCCAUGUUAAGCUGGGAACUAGGGUCUGAGCCCUAUUACUGUCCUAUGUGCACAUGGCCCAGCUUGACACAGGACCCAGAAGUCUUCUGGAUGUAUCCCAGAGUUCCUUGGGGCAACUUCCUUUGUCUUCUCUAUGCCGACAACCUGCAUUGCAGUCUAUUGCAAUCUUGCAAAGGGAAACCACAUCUCCCUGAAGGGCAGCAGCUCAGUCAGCAUUAACCCAUUGUUUGCUGAACAUGGAUCUGCAAGCAGGACCCCAGAUAGACUGCAGGGUUUGCAAUGGAGAUCGAUCAGAAGAAGCUAUUUGCAAAGAGCUGCUCCCUGGUCACAAAAGCACAGCUCCCAACUCUGCACAGCUGAGGAAUGAUGACCCCCAAUACUUCAGCGGCCCCCAUGCAGUUUGAUGGUUUGUGAGGUCUCAGACAAAUCAGCUGCCAUAUGGUGGGAUACACUGCAAACCUGAAACCCCAGGGACAUGUCUCUGCACUGAGCAUUGUACGUGCAAAGGAGGAGAUGGGGGGCUCCUAAUGAACAACAGCCUGGCCUCAUCUCAUCUAUAGAUCUUACUUGUUUGAAAACUCCUGACCUCAAUCACAGGACCCUGUGUCCUGCGCAAGGCCAGCUAUUUGCAUUUCUCUGAUGUUGAACGAGCUGAGAAAACAUGUGCAUUGUUUGGGGUGGGUUUCCGGCUCAGGUCUGGAGCCAGGCAUUUUGGUUUCUUGAUCAGGGGAAAUUAUUGCUCUUUUUUGCAGAGGGCGAUGCUGUACGAGUGUCUCACAGAAGGUCUCCUGGGAUUUGUCUGGGUGAUGCUGUUCCCCUGUUCACACCACAGAAUGUGUCAUGUAGUCAGCAGAACUGUAGGAAGCAGAUGCAAUUUUUUAUUUGACAGUAUUUCUCUGUAGAGCAGUUUGCUCCUUGCAGUGGGAGCUGCUGCCUCCUUGCCAGGAGUCUAGCAGAGGAAGUGUCCUGAACCUCCUUGUGUCAAAGCACUGGAGGGGUGAUAGACAGAGGAGAGCUGCGCUGUGUGUUCACCUCUCUGUUAUAUUGCUGAUCAGAGCUGAGGUGCUGAGGGGAGAAGGAGCUGGGAGCCAGUUCAGAUCUGGAGUGGAGAACUGGGAGGACCAGGAAAGGUUUCUGUUCCCAGCAACAGACCCCUUAGGUUUGGGGUUUGUCUCACCACCUUCUUCUGUGAACAGACUCUUUAGGCUAUAAGGUUAUAUAAGCCCAAUAGAUGUGCAUGUGCAUAGAAAAAGCUUUACUGGCAUAGAGUGAGUUCUGUCUACAGCACUGUAUCCAGUUGUACUACCUAGUUGUACUUUUUACAGUUAUUCAGUAACUACUACUACCCUAGGAAGAUUUCAAGGGUUGCUUGCAAUGGAGUCUGGUCACGCAAAGAGAAAAAAGCAGCAUCAAUAGGAUUUACAUCAGUGGUUCUUAACGUGGGGGUGUGAGAUGCCCUUUCUGGGGGGUGUGAGAUUUUUUUAGAUGGUAAAUCAUUGAAAACACAAAUUAAGCACAGGCACGUAAGUACAACUACUUUGUUUAAUCAGACCUCUGUACUUAUUAACAUUACACAUUUUUUAACUAUUACUGUCAUAUACAAACAAAAAUUUAACAUAUUAACUAAGGGGUACAAGAACAUAUUUUGAGAACCAAAGGGGUGCAGGCUGCAGUAAAGGUUAAGAACCACUGGUUUACGUGAAUGAGGCUUCAGGUAGCUCAAUUUAAAGCAACUUGUAUAAUUAAAUGAACUGGGAAUGUUAUAAUAAAAUGCUGCUGGACAUCGUGUAGUGUUGCAGGGCUCAGCAAUACCAAAAAUACAAAACUCCUUCAUUUCCUGGAGGGGGUGUAUUGCACUUCCCAAUGGGACCAUCACUGAACUCCAACAGCUGCUAAUCCACCUCAGGUAUUACUGCACAGCUGUGCAGUGAUGUGAUUAUUGAAUCCAGAUUUCAAAGAGGUGUUUUGCUUUCAUUUAGGCUAAGUUUUCAAUGCUGUGUCAGAGGAGGAAAAGACAGCAUCAGGAAUGUACCUGGUGGACAAUCAGAGGAGUUGCUCCAUUCCUAUGGACCCCAAAUCAGAAUUCAACAUAUAUAUUUUAUACUAAUAACAUUUUAUCAAAGUAUUAAUUAAAUGUUAACUAGCUAACUUGAGACCAUGGGUGGAGACAUUAUGUAACCUUCUAACCAUUGGCUAAUGUGCUUAUCUUGUUUUGCUGCAAAACCUAUCUCGAGGUGUGGAACUGCCUACCCAGUCACUUCCCCCGCCCAUGGAAAAAUCUAUAUAGUCUAUUGUAAUCAAUUGAUUGACAGUGUCUCUGAGCCUAAUAAGCCAGGUGACACUCCGCCAGCGCUGUGUAAAAUAAACUCCUAUGCUUGGCCUCUACAUGGUGUGGAUUUAUGUCCUUCAGGCCAGAGAGCUCAAAGCACCAAAUUGCCACCUCAUUAAAGCAGCCAAUUACCAGACGUGGAGAGAAGCUGAACCAGCAGUCACUCCGGGCUGAGAGUCGGGUGAGCAGCCCUGUUACGCUCAGAUUCAGGAAUCAGGCUUUUCUCAUUUAAAAAUGUCCAGAUGCCUGGUGUCUUGGAGUCAGCAGAUCUACAGUCAGCAACUGACAGAAACAGGCUUCCAGAAUUUCAGAGUAAAUGCGGGAUGUCCCUUGCGCUCAGGUGUGUUUGGAGACUGAGGUCUGGAAAUUUUGUUAGCUCUUAAGGUAUGUUUAAGUGUUUGUACAAAGUGUUCCAUUAGUCCCUUUGUAGCAGGGUGGUGUGGAGCUGAACGUCUGUCCUGAAUUCCAUUUAAAGACGUGAUGCCUGUCCUUCAUCCGCACAAUGCCAAAAUGACCUGCAUGAAGAGUUUCCAAACUCUGAGACUGAAGUGAUUUCAGAAUGAUCACUCGUAUUCCCCCCAAAACACAAGCAUGAUUCACAGAUAAUUCACACGGAUGUGACACAAAUAAUGUAAACUGGGGAUUCUUUUGAUCUAGUGCUAUACCUUGUAGCGCCUUUCCCUUCACCAGAGAAAACACAUCAUCCUUAGUGGUUUCUUUGUUGAUGUCUGUGCUAGUGACAGGUAACCUAGCCAUCAAAUUGAGAGAAAAGAACUUUCUGAAGUUUCUUUGGGUUGACAAGAGCUUGGGCAUGGCAGAUGUGACUGCCCAUCAGCAUUGCUGUGCUGAGCCCCUUUACUGAACUGAAUAGUAUAGGAAUGAACUGAAAGUAGCAAGGCCCAUCGUUACAUAUGAGCAGCACUUAAUGACCUAGUUCCAUAUUUUGGUCCAAAAAUUGAAAGUAACAAGCAGUGAUCCUUCAGCAAGGUAAAAUGUCUACGACCCAGAUAGGUAUGGAACUUCCAAAUUCUAAAGAUAAUUCUGAGAGCGUCUCAAUCUAUUUGUGCAUACUGUAAUUCUUCUCAGGCAUAGUGAGUGUUCAUGAAGGGAAGGCAAUUAGUUUCUCCAUGCCAUUAGGAAAAAUGUGGGGAAAAACUGCACCAACUCCAAAUGGUGAAGCAUCACAAGCCAAUUGCAAUGGUAACAAAGCACCAAAGUGUGUAAGAGCGUUGGCUGAUAUCAGCAGUUACUUUACUUCCUUAAUUGCACACUCACAAUCUUUAGUCCAUUUCAAGUUUUUAUUUGCUCGUAACAGUUCAUGCAAAGGUGCCAAUACAGUUGCCAGAUUAGGCAGAAAUUUACUGUAGUAGUUAAGCAGUUCUAAAAAUGAAUGUAACUGUGACAUGUUCUCUCACAAUUUCCUCAAGCUUGUUGCAUUGGUUACAUGUCCAAGGUAUUCAAAUGAAGGUUUGAAAAUCUCACGUUUGUCUCGGCACACUCUCAGUCCAUGGUCUUCCAAAUGUUACAAAACAGUAUCCAAAUGUCAAAGAUGAUCCUCUUAAUCCUUUCCUGUACUAAGAAUGUUGUCCAAAUAGCACUGAACUCUCUACAGUCCCUUCAGAAUCUGAUCCACGGCAUUCUGGAACAGGGCAGGUGCCCAGUGUGAUACUGAAAGGUAAUCUGUGGUAGCAAAAUGUAACACACACACCUCCUGGGUGUGGUGUUCUGUCCCAUCUAGUGGCACUGAGACCACUUAGAGAGAGAUCAAAUGAGUCUGCUCUACAGCCUUACUUAAGAGCCACUUGCCUUUUAGCUCCUGCAGUAGAGGCUCAUGCACUAGGUACUCAUAGGCCCCAGGUUCAAUCCCACCCAUCAACAACUGGGGUUCUUUCAGCAUUACAAAACCAAGACUUUUUGUGAGAUAUUUGCAAGAUGCCAGGUCAGUCUCCAUUAGUAGUAUAAGGGCCCUACCAGCAAUCAAACCCUAACCCCACCCUAACCCUGCCCCUUGACCCCUAUAGUCCCUCCCAUCUGUCACCAGAAGUCCCACCCUAUGGGGGUAUUACUUCCGGGAUCAAGAUGGCCACAUGACCGGAAGCAAAGUGGAUCAUAUGACCCCUCUAAGAACUCCUCCCACCACCCUCUACCAAUCAGGAGGGGUUUCCUCCCGAUAGGACCACCCUGAGAGGAGAUUUGACCAAUCAGGGUGACUUCCGGGGGAGGGGUGACCCCAUCUAGAAGUGGGUCAUGUGACCCCUCUAAGAACUCCUCCCACCACCCUCUACCAAUCAGGAGGGGUUUCCUCCCGAAAGGACCACCCUGAAAGGAGAUUUUGACCAAUCAGGGUGACCCCUCUAAGAACUCCUCCCAAGGCCCUCCGCCAACCCGAGUGCAGCACCAAUACCCCACAAGUCCCAGUGCCGGACAGAGGAUGCUAUUUCUUACCAAGGACACAUGUUUUAGAAAGCGUGGAAAGGCUGCUGAGAGGAAACAUGGACUCCUUUACCACCUCCAUCAGAACUUCAGACUUUGUUUUAGACCCAAGCACCAUGCUUAUGUGGCGCAGGCACUACACCAGCGACAGUUCUGAGGAGGAGGAGGGAAUGAUCGAGUGGAGCCCUUUGGCCCACCAGUUGAUGGAUAUGUCAGAACCCAACUACGAAACCCUCGUGAGGCACCCUGAGGAGCCUGAUGGCCUCUCUUUGUCCACCCCCUCAGAUCGCUGCUUGGGAGAGUCACCGGUGGACAAGGCAAAUGGAAAAGAUGGCUCUCAGCAGCUCGACGAUGCCUUUCUAGAGGCCUUUAAGAACUUGCGCAUCAGCUGUUAUUGCUCAUGUUCGAGAGACAGAUCUCAAGCCGAAAAUGACAAAAUGGAAGAAUGAAACAGCUCAGAUUCCCUUAUGGUAGGGGUUAUGGCAUCCAUUUUACAGGCGGCUGUAAAAAAUCAUGUUAAACCAGGCAAUUAAUAAAAAGUAUUUAAAUGUGUCAAUAUGAGCGUGUCCCCAUUCAUAUUUGUGGUAGUAAAAGAUGGUACCAGUAACAGUCAUG